GAUGAAGAACGUAGCGAAAUGCGAUAAGUAAUGUGAAUUGCAGAAUUCAGUGACUCAUCGAAUCUUUGAACGCACAUUGCGCCCGCCAGCACUCUGGCGGGCAUGCCUGUUCGAGCGUCAUUUCAACCAUCAAGCCCCCAGGGGCUUGUGCUGGGGCCCUGCGGCUGCCCGCAGGCCCUGAAAACCAGUGGCGGGCUCGCUAGUCACACCGAGCGCAGUAGCACAUCUCGCUCAGGGCGUGCGGCGGGCUCCUGCCGUGAAACCCCCCACUGUAACCCCAAAGGUUGACCUCGGAUCAGGUAGGAAUACCCGCUGAACUUAAGCAUAUCAAUAAGCGGAGGA
rnacentral:misc_RNA from 1 species